AGCGAACGCUGGCGGCAGGCUUAACACAUGCAAGUCGAGCGGGCGUAGCAAUACGUCAGCGGCAGACGGGUGAGUAACGCGUGGGAACGUACCUUUUGGUUCGGAACAACACAGGGAAACUUGUGCUAAUACCGAAUAAGCCCUUACGGGGAAAGAUUCAUCGCCGAGGGAUCGGCCCGCGUCUGAUUAGCUUGUUGGUGAGGUAACGGCUCACCAAGGCUACGAUCAGUAGCUGGUCUGAGAGGAUGAUCAGCCACACUGGGACUGAGACACGGCCCAGACUCCUACGGGUGGCAG
rnacentral:rRNA from 1 species